UCACAUUCACUAGCUGCAUGAUUAAAUCACUGGAUGGUCUCGCUAUGCGGUGAAGAAUGAAAUAAUUAACGACCUGAUAAGGCUGCAACGUGAAGAAACUAUUCACCAGAAAAAGUUCAAAAUCAAAUCAACGUGGUUUUGAUUUUGGAAAAAAUGAAACAAUACGUAGUGAAUGAAUCUGCUCGUAACUAUGCAAGACACAAUCACUUCCCAGGAUCUCAGAUAUAGAUUUACCAAGUUGCACAGAUUGAAGAACGAAUCCAGAAAGAAUCAAUUUAACACAAGAAUUAAGAGAACUGAAAAGAAUAGAAACAAACACAGACAACACAAGAAUCAAUUACGUGGUUCGGUUGCACCAAGGAGGCACAACCUACAUCCACCACGGGAGAUGCUUUGGAGAGCUUUUAUUGAAUAACAAUGGAUGAUCUUUUACAGGGCUUUUACUUAAGAUUACAGAGAACUCAUCUUUCACAGUCUCUGAUAUCUCUCUCUCUUAACACGGUUACACACACGCUCAGCUCACAAACUGAACUACAAGAGCAACGAAUCAGCUAAAUCCAGAUUGCACAGCUUGUUGACACGUUGAGUAACAGACUUAACGAACUGAAUCAAGUUGCCUCGCACGGCUAUCACGUGCAUCACUUAAAGCUUUCCCUUAAACGACACAGAAGAACUGCCGUUUCAAGCUUAAGAAACAAGUGAUUACACAGGUGCUUCAGCCCGUGACUUUUAAGUGCUCUUAUCUUAUAUUGCCAAAACGCUGCCGUUUAGAGAUGAUGAGUUUGAUUCACCAGCAAGCCUCACACAAUAUCACUUGAGCAACACUAUAAAAUUAUUCAAAGAAAUCUCUAGGUCAGUAUCCAAAUAUGUGGCUCCGUCAGUUCCACCACAACCCAAAAUAUCAGAUCCCCCCAUUUGGAUUCGACUGAUCAAUUUGAGCAUAUAAAAUCGGGUUUUAAAUUUCCCUAAUCAAAAUUUAUAUUCCGCAGAAUCGGUUCCUUUAACAUGAUGCAUUACAUAAUAUUUUGUUUGCAAAAUAAAGAAGAAAGAUGACAUAAUAGAAACACUCGCAGAGAGAGAAUACCUUUGACGAAAAGCUUAGAAGUGAAUCCUCUGUAAAAUACGAGUUGAGCUGCUGAAUUUUUCGAGUUUGAAUGAGAGACUGCGCCAUUUCUGAAAAUGUUUUUUUCUCAUUAGCGCCGCCAUUUUUGUAAUAGAGGGUAAAGAAAUAAGUAACAAAGUAAGAGGUGAGCAGAAGCGGCCCAAUUUAGUUAUAUGCAUGUAUGUGAUCAAAAUUGGAUGGUUAAAUUUUGUUGUUUCCAAUAAUUUUAUGUUGUAUCUUU
rnacentral:lncRNA from 1 species